rnacentral:tRNA from 1 species
GGGCGGUUAGCUCAGCUGGUAGAGCGCCACGUUUACACCGUGGAUGUCGGGAGUUCGAAUCUCUCACCGCCCA